CCUGAACUUAAGCAUAUCAAUAAGCGGAGGAAAAGAAACCAACCGGGAUUGCCUUAGUAACGGCGAGUGAAGCGGCAAAAGCUCAAAUUUGAAAUCUGGUACCUUUGGUGCCCGAGUUGUAAUUUGGAGAGGGCAACUUUGGGACCGUUCCUUGUCUAUGUUCCUUGGAACAGGACGUCAUAGAGGGUGAGAAUCCCGUGUGGCGAGGAGUGCGGUUCUAUGUAAAGUGCCUUCGAAGAGUCGAGUUGUUUGGGAAUGCAGCUCUAAGUGGGUGGUAAAUUCCAUCUAAAGCUAAAUAUUGGCGAGAGACCGAUAGCGAACAAGUACAGUGAUGGAAAGAUGAAAAGAACUUUGAAAAGAGAGUGAAAAAGUACGUGAAAUUGUUGAAAGGGAAGGGCAUUUGAUCAGACAUGGUGUUUUGCGCCCUCUGCUCCUUGUGGGUGGGGGAAUCUCGCAGUUCACUGGGCCAGCAUCAGUUUUGGUGGCAGGAUAAAUCCGUAGGAAUGUAACUUGCUUCGGGAAGUAUUAUAGCCUAUGGGAAUACUGCCAACUGGGACUGAGGACUGCGACGUAAGUCAAGGAUGCUGGCAUAAUGGUUAUAUGCCGCCCGUCUUGAAACACGGACCAAGGAGUCUAACGUCUAUGCAAGUGUUUGGGUGUAAAACCCAUACGCGUAAUGAAAGUGAACGUAGGUUGGGGCCUCGCAAGAGGUGCACAAUCGACCGAUCCUGAUGUCUUCGGAUGGAUUUGAGUAAGAGCAUAGCUGUUGGGACCCGAAAGAUGGUGAACUAUGCCUGAAUAGGGUGAAGCCAGAGGAAACUCUGGUGGAGGCUCGUAGCGGUUCUGACGUGCAAAUCGAUCGUCGAAUUUGGGUAUAGGGGCGAAAGACUAAUCGAACCAUCUAGUAGCUGGUUCCUGCCGA
rnacentral:rRNA from 1 species